rnacentral:rRNA from 1 species
AACGCGAAGAACCUUACCUGGGCUUGAACCGCUACGGACCAAGGGUAGAAAUAUCCUCUUCCCGCAAGGGACCGUAGUAGAGGUGCUGCAUGGCUGUCGUCAGCUCGUGCCGUGAGGUGUUGGGUUAAGUCCCGCAACGAGCGCAACCCUUACUCGUAGUUGCUACCCGCAAGGGAGAACUCUACGAGGACUGCUCCGGAUAACGGAGAGGAAGGUGGGGAUGACGUCAAGUCAGCACGGCCUUUAUGUCCAGGGCUACACACGUGUUACAAUGCAUGGUACAGACUGUUGCGAACCCGCGAGGGGGAGCUAAUCGGACAAAGCCAUGCUCAGUUCGGAUUGCAGUCUGCAACUCGACUGCAUGAAGCUGGAAUCGCUAGUAAUGCCGUAUCAGAUCGACGGCGUGAAUACGUUCCCGGGCCUUGUA